GAUGAACGCUGGCGGCGUGCUUAACACAUGCCAGUCGAACGAGAAGUGAAGACGGACACCUUUGGGCGGACGGCUUUAUUUCGAGUGGCGGACGGGUGAGUAACGCGCGGGUAACCUGCCUCAUACAGGGGGAUAACAGUCGGAAACGACUGUUAAUACCGCAUAAGACCACAGCACCGCAUGGUGCGGGGGUAAAAACUCCGGUGGUAUGAGAUGGACCCGCGUGCGAUUGGCCAGUUGGCGGGGUAACGGCCCACCAACGCGACGAUCGGUAGCCGAACGGAGAGGGGGACCGGUCACAUUGGGACUGGGACACGGCCCAAACGCGUACGGGAGGCAGCGGUGAGGAAUAUUGCAGAAGAGGGGAAACCCUGAUGCAGCGAGGCCGGGAGAAUGAAGAAGUAUUUGGGUAUGGAAAGCUGUAUCAGCAGGGAAGAAAAUGACGGUACCUGAGUAAGAAGCCCCGGCUAACUACGUG
rnacentral:rRNA from 1 species